UCCCGAUCAAUUUUACAGAGUAGGUACAGACGUUGUUCAGAUGUUCACAUGGUUAUAUUGUGUGAAAUUACAAAGUAAAAGAGAUUCUCCUUCCUUGUGGUGAAUUAUUUAUUAUUUUUAGACAGUGGGCUAACUCAUCUCAUAUAAUAGCCUGAAGGUGGCUGCAUUUCAGUGAAUGCCUGCGAAUUUCAGCAUUAUAUCGAUAAAGAAGGUCCACACGUGUUCAAGAUUGUACAACUUUUAACAAAAAUAUACUAAGGAACAGGACUAUAAACAUAUUAUCUAGAAGAGGAAAAUGGCAAACGAUAUCUUUUGGAGAAGGAAUGUCCCAGUUUAUUCAGACUGGGAAGACAGACUGUUGUCCCCUCAAUGGCCGAUUCCAAUUCCAAGUAUACCAGCGCUGCGUGUGAGUGAUAUGCAUCGUUCAACGACCAAACAGUGCUUCGCUCAGAGCCACGUUCACUCACCGGUCUCAUCGUUCACUCAACGAUCUGUGGCUUUGAACUCAAACAAUCUGGUUUUCAGAAGCUGCAUUUAUUCAACAUCAUUCAUUAUAAUCGACAAAAAUGGUAGAAGAAAAAACCUCCAAAAAGUAUUAUUGGAGAAAAUAACUUCUACCCAGUAAAAUGCUGAGUACUGAAGCCCAGGUAUAUCCACCCCAGGUGGCGGAUAGAGGAAUGCCUCCCAGAUAUGGGGGGUAAGGCCCACCGGUGAAAAUAAAUAGCCGGGUGGGCCGAAAUAGCGAACCAAUGUCAAUCCACCACAUCCCGGUCCCGUGAAGUCGGAAAUGAGAGUUUAUAUAACUCGUAAAUGGUAUUUAUAGAAGUUUGGCAUUUAAAGUAGCCAAUCUUACAGAACGGGAGUAGGUGGCGCAUGGAGCUGUUGAACAGGUUGAACACGGGGGGUGGGGUGCCCGUGAGGGGAUGCUAGUCUUCCAUCGGGCGCCUCACCCCGGCUGGGAAGACUCAUAGGACAAAAUGUGAACUAAAGGAAAUGCAGGAACAGAACGAUUUUGAACAGCCACGUUCACUCACCGGUCUCAUCGUUCACUCAACGAUCUGUGGCUUUCAACUCAAACAACCUGGUUUUCAGAAGCUGCAUUUAUUAUAAUUUAUUAUCAUUCAUUAUAAUCGACAAAAAUGGUAGAAGAAAAAACCUCCAAAAAGUAUUAUUGGAGAAAAUAACUUCUACCCAGUAAAAUGCUGAGUACUAAUGCCCAGAUAUAUCCACCCCGGGUGGCGGAUAGAGGAAUGCCUCCCAGAUAUGGGGGGUAAGGCCCACCGGUGAAAAUAAAUAGCCGGGUGGGCCGAAAUAGCGAACCAAUGUCAAUCCACCACAGCCCGGUCCCGUGAAGUCGGAAAUGAGAGUUUAUAUAACUCGUAAAUGGUAUUUAUGGGAGUUUGGCAUUUAAAGUGGCCAACCUUACAGAGUGAGAGUAGGUGGCGCAUGGAGCCUGUUGAACAGGUUGAACACGGGGGGUGGGGUGCCCGUGAGGGGAUGCUAGUCUUCCAUCGGGCGCCUCACCCCGGCUGGGAAGACUCAUAGGACAAAAUGUGAACUAAAGGAAAUGCAGGAACAGAACGAUUUUGAACAGCCACGUUCACUCACCGGUCUCAUCGUUCACUAACCGAUCUGUGGCUUUGAACUCAAACAAUCUGGUUUUCAGAAGCUGCAUUUAUUAUAAUUUAUUAUCAUUCAUUAUUAUCGACAAAAAUGGUAGAAGAAAAAACCUCCAAAAAGUAUUAUUGGAGAAAAUAACUUCUACCCAGUAAAAUGCUGAGUACUAAUGCCCAGAUAUAUCCACCCCAGGUGGCGGACAGAGAAAUGCCUCCCAGAUAUGGGGGGUAAGGCCUACCGGUGAAAAUAAAUAGCCGGGUGGGCCGAAAUAGCGAACCAAUGUUGUCCCCUCAAUGGCUGAUUUCAAUUGCAAGUACAGUAGCGCUGCAUGUGAGUAUAUGCAUCGUUCAACGACCAAACAGUGCUUCGCUCAGAGCCACGUUCACUCACCGGUCUCUGGCUUUGAACUCAACCAAUCUGGUUUUCAGAACCUGCAUUUAUUCAACAUCAUUCAUUAUAAUCGACAAAAAUGGUAGAAGAAAAAACCUCCAAAAAGUAUUAUUGGAGAAAAUAACUUCUACCCAGUAAAAUGGAAAAGAGUCAUGCUGUAAUGAUGCUAUUGAAGACUAAUCUUCCAUCUUACUCUCGCUUCACUUUAACUUUAAUUAUUAUUACUUAUUAGUCUACUUUUCUACUUUAUUUAUUUACUUUAAUUUUACUUAUUACUACUUAUCCACUUAUUAUUAUUAUUAUUACUCCAACUUAAAUAUCUGCUACCAAUGGAAGUAAAACGUACAGUAUACCUUAGCCUAGUAGAAUCUCAAAUAAGAUAUGGAAUAACCGUUUAUGGACAUGCUCCAAAUUAUAUCUUGAAUCCAGUGGUUCAACUAACUGACAGAAUAAGAAGCAUUUUUUCCAGAAUCUAGACACAAAUACAAUACAUAUACUCAACUUCAAAAACUUGUACAAAUUCAUAAUACUACAGAAAUACUACUUCGAAAAUCAUUAUAGACAGACCAAUGAAAAUAGAUACAAUACAAGACAUUUGCAUAAAUAUAAAGAAAAUAAAAAUCUCAGUACCCUUUUUUUUGCAAGUUAUCACUUGAAAAUGGCAUGAAUGUCCGAAACAUGUUGUGAUGAAAUAUUUCAAAAAAAGGUACUGAGAUUUUUAUUUUCUUUAUAUUUAUAUUACAAGUAGCCCUAUACAGAAAAGAGAUAAAUAAGACACUUGCACUAUAGAACACCAGACUACUUUGUACCGAACAUCCUCAACAGCAUCCCCAAUCACCUCAACAGCCUCAACACAUACGCAGAAGUUAAAAGAGAAAUAAUAAUAAUAAUUUUUCUGAUUGCCAAUGAAUUGCAACGAGAGGAGUUUAUUGACAAAACAUAUACAUAAUUGUUAUAUUCUUCUUCUUCUUUAGUUGGCUCUACAGUCCUGGGUGGACCUUGGCCUCCUCAACACAAUGUCUCCAAUCGCCUCUUCUCUGGGAUCUUUGCCGCCAGUUGUUGGAUACGCCCAGUGAAAUGUUUCAACUUCCUAGACUCCGCCGUUGUGAUUUCUCCUCAUCCGCCUUCGAGACCGUUGGCCAGUUUUAACCCGUAACCCUGGGCAGGGGCCCUUACAGGGUGCUACCAUCCGGAGCCAGAUGGACCCCGGAUUUUUAACGAGGUGUAUCUCCUUCCCUAUCGCUUGCAAGAUAAGGCCCCGGGCUUGCGACCGGCAUGGCGGAGUUAAUUAUUAUAUUAUACAUACAAAAUUGCUAAUACUAAACUUAGUUCUAAUUAUGAUACCCCACUAUAAUAAUAUGUGUCGAGGUGUUCAUAAUAUUUUUUUCUAAACCAUGUAUAAAAAAUGUAAUUAGUAAUUUUAGUUAUAAAGGUUUGUUAGUUAAUAAAAGGUAGA